AGAAAGACUGGCACCUGCAGUGAACUUCAGAAUUUUCUUUAUUUUUCUUUUUUUGACAGGUGAGUGUGACUAUGCUGCCUGGAGAAUUUCUUGCCUGGCGCUCUCUGCAGCUUCCACCUGGCUCUGAGGUCCGUAUCCUGCCUCCAGCAGUAUCUGCACAAGCCCCUACUUUUGGAGCGGUAUGGAUCUUCUGCCAGCUUUCGGCCUCCUUCAAAUGCACGGCCUGUCAGCUCCUCACGACUCUGCUUGAAGCUGUAGUGCUGAAACUGGGACACCAGCUGAAUGCUCCUUUUGGACCUCCACUCCACUGCAGUCCUUCAAGGAAAAAGGCCACUUACAUCAUUAAAGGAUGUUCCUGA
rnacentral:lncRNA from 1 species